UACGAAGGGGGCUAGCGUUGCUCGGAAUCACUGGGCGUAAAGCGCACGUAGGCGGAUUGUUAAGUCAGGGGUGAAAUCCUGGAGCUCAACUCCAGAACUGCCUUUGAUACGGAUGGGCUAGAGUUCGGGAGAGGAGAGUGGAAUUCCCAGUGUAGAGGUGAAAUUCGUAGAUAUUGGGAAGAACACCGGUGGCGAAGGCGGCUCUCUGGACCGAGACUGACGCUGAGGCGCGAAAGCGUGGGGAGCAAACAGG
rnacentral:rRNA from 1 species